GUCUACCAGGUAUAUAACGUUCCCAUACGAUGCAGGUGACCAGCCAAACAUCAAAGCGCAAUUUGCAGCGAUAGCCGGUUUUCCUAAUGUAAUCGGAGCGAUCGACUGCACACAUAUUGCUAUAAAGGCGCCAUCUGAAGACGAAUUUGCAUAUGUGAAUCGGAAACAUUUCCAUUCAAUAAAUGUGCAGAUUAUAUGUGAUGCACAAAUGCGCCUAACAAAUAUUGUGGCAAGGUGGCCUGGGUCAACCCAUGAUUCAUAUAUCCUUACAAACAGCAUGGUUGGGAUGAGACUCCAAGCUGGCAGGGUGCGCGAUGGGUGGCUACUUGGAGACAGUGGUUAUCCACUAAAGACGUGGCUGUUAACCCCCUCACCAACCCACAAACUGACCGAGAGCGCAGAUACAAUGAUGCCCAUUCCCGCACUCGGUCAGUUGUGGAGCGGGCGAUUGGGCAGCUGAAAUGUCGGUGGCGCUGCCUUGACAGGACCGGGGGAUGCUGUUAUACCGCCCUGACAAGGUUUGCCGCAUCAUACUGGCCUGUGGAGUGCUGCACAAUGUCGCGCACAGGCAUGGCAUACCCCUUGGUGAGGUGGGGGCACCGCCAGAUGACCCUGACCCAGGACCAGUAUAUGUGCAGCACAAUCAACAAGCCAUUCAGGCCCGUCAACGUGUAAUUGCGACAAUAUAAAUGGUACUCAGACACAAAGUUCAUUUUUUGACCAAUUCUUUUAAUGAAUGGCUUAUUUCUGUGAGUGCGUCAGUGACAUUUUUAAGGUGACUGUUCAUUUCUUCAAUGGCCCUAACAAUUUGUUGUUGUGACUCCAGAACAGCAUGCGUCAAGACACGGCCAGAUGGACAGGCUUCAGCACUGGGGGGAACAUUAGAGACACGGGAGACGCUGGACUGAAUGGGCUCUGGCUGCUCAGGUGGUGCGGACUCUGAGUGCGUGCCAGUGGACGUUCCUGCGGUUCCUAAGUCCAAUUAAACACAGGCACAUCUUAACAGUAAUUUGAGUCUGUUCCUUAUUAAUGGGUACACGCAUUUGCAAUAAAAGCAGUGGAUACGUGAAAUCUCUGGUGUACCUUUUGCUAUAUUGCAUGCAUUUUAAAAUUAAACGGUGGCUGGCUAUGUAUAUCAAAGUUAAGGAAAUAAAUCUGAGUCACCUUG